rnacentral:rRNA from 1 species
CUGACCUGCCCAGUGAUUAAUUUAACGGCCGCGGUAAACUGACCGUGCAAAGGUAGCAUAAUCAUUAGUCUUUUAAUAGAGGGCUGGAAUGAAAGGUUUGACGAGGAACUGACUGUCUCAUUUUAUUUAUUUUAAAAUUUAAUUUUUUAGUCAGAAAGCUGAAAUUUUAUUGGUAGACGAGAAGACCCUAUAGAUCUUUAUAGAAAAUUAUUUACUUAUUGUUAUAUAAAUAUAGUUAGUUAAUUUUCUAUUUUGUUGGGGUGACAGAAAUAUAAAAUCAACUUUUUUAUUAACUUAACAUUAAUUUAUGAAUAUAUGAUCCAUUAUUAGUGAUUAUUAGAUUAAGUUACCUUAGGGAUAACAGCGUAAUCCUCCUCCAGAGUUCAUAUUUACAGGAUGGGCUUGCGACCUCGAUGUUGGAUUAAGAUAAUAAUUAGGUGUAGCCGCUUAAUUGAUAGGUCUGUUCGACCUUUAA